CUUUCAGUGGUUCUAAAGAAUGAAGUGGCUGAUCUGCUAACAAGAAUGGGCCUCAUAAGAUGAGAUGCUAUGUCAGAAGACUGGAAGCUAGCAAGUGUUGUGUAUACCAUACUUUUAAACURAGCACAAGGAGCAGCCCUGGAAUUUGCAGACGCGCAAUCCAUAUGUUAAUGCCAAUUCAUUUUCUUUGGAUUAUCUGUACUUUUUCAGUAAUGGCAAUACAUUCAUUCUGCCAUUUGGAGGAGCCUGUGCCACAGAAUAAUGAUCUGAAGAAGGCUAACUUGCUUGCAAAGAGCCUUCAUUUGGGAAACAGUAGUGAUGCAGCAAAGAGGUGCUUUGUCAAGUUCAGCAGAACUAUUAUUGCACCUAGCACAAACUCCAGUACAUGGACAAAGCUGGUUUUCCUCAAAGAAUAA
rnacentral:lncRNA from 1 species